rnacentral:rRNA from 1 species
CAAUCAUAUGCUUGUCUCAAAGAUUAAGCCAUGCAUGUCUAAGUAUAAGUGAUAUACGGCGAAACUGCGGAAGGCUCAUUAUAUCAGUUAUAAUCUCUUUGAGAAUUCCUUUAGUUGGAUAACUGUAGGAAUUCUAGAGCUAAUACAUGCACCAUGGCAGGAUCUCGGGCAACCGGGAGAAUGUCGUGGUUAUAAGUUGAGAAACCAGUUUGGGGCAUUCAACCUGGGGGCAACUUCAGGGUUCCAAUCUCGGUGGCGAAACAUUGUAACACCACGAAUCGGGAACUCAAGUUCCUGAUGCUUUAAGCGAAUAACUGACCUAUCAACUUUCAACCGUAGUGUAGUGGACUACGGUGGUGAUAACGGGUACGGGGAAUUAAGGUUCGAUUCCGGAAAGGGAGCCUGAGAGACGGCUCCUACUUCCAAGGAAGGCAACAGGCGCGCAAAUUAUCCAAUCUUGAUUCAGGGAGAUAGUGACAAGAAAUACCGAUGUAGAACCUUCUGGGUUCUACUAUCGGAAUGAGUACAAUUUAAAAACCUUAGCGAGGAACAAUUG